rnacentral:rRNA from 2 species
UACCAGCUCUCCGAGUGGUGUGGAUGUUUAUUGGGCCUAAAGCAUCCGUAGCUGGCUAAGUUAGUCCCUUGUUAAAUCCACCGAAUUAAUCGUUGGAUUGCGGGGGAUACUGCUUGGCUAGGGGACGAGAGAGGCAGACGGUAUUUCCGGGGUAGGGGUGAAAUCCUAUAAUCCCGGGAAGACCACCAGUGGCGAAGGCUGUCUGCUAGAACGCGCCCGACGGUGAGGGAUGAAAGCUGGGGGAGCGAACCGG